GGCCAACCUAUUGGUGUGAAUAGAGCUUGUCUUGCAAGUUAUUGUGGCUCCCUUGUUAGAGAUCCUCUUAAUGCCCCACUUCAAAAGUUGAAAGUAUUUUCAUAAAUUCCAGAAGAGAAUAAGGAGAAGAUGUGGGAUCUUGUUCUGGAAAAAUUCGAUAUUGGACUUGAGGAUGAUCAAGAUGAAGGGGAACGUGAAAAAAUAAAAAAAAGAAAGGAAAACAUACAUCAUGGGGUCUUUGAAUAAAAAAUACAGGAAUUAUCGUGCAAGACUGAAAGCUGAUUAUUAUGAUAUUGAGAGCACAGACGAGGAGAGGCUUAAAGAAGAAAACAGGCCACCAAAUGUUGACAAAGAUGACUGGGAAUGGCUUGUUGAGUACUUUGGAUCAGACGAGUUUAAGGGUAAGAGUACAAGAAAUACCGAAAAUCGAUCUUACCAAGAUGCCAGAC